rnacentral:piRNA from 1 species
GAGCAACUGCCGGCUUCCUUUGCCCU